rnacentral:rRNA from 1 species
AUUGAACGCUGGCGGCAGGCCUAACACAUGCAAGUCGAGCGAGCGGCGGACGGGUGAGUAAUGUAUGGGGACUGCCCGAUAGAGGGGGAUAACUCAUGGAAACGGUGGCUAAUACCGCAUACUAUCGGAUAACCCAUAUGGGAUUAGCUAGUAGGGGGGGUAAAGGCUCACGUAGGCGACGAGCUCUAGCUGGUCUGAGAGGAUGAUCAGCCACACUGUGACUGAGCAACGGCCCAGACUCCUACGGAGGCAGCAGUGGGGAAUAUUGCACAAUGGGCGCAAGCCUUAUGCAGCCAUGCCGCGUGUAUGAAGAAGGCCUUCGGGUUGUAAAGUACUUUCAGUCGGGAGGCGUUACCGACAGAAGAAGCACCGGCUAACUCCGUGCCAGCAGCCGCGGUAAUUC